rnacentral:tRNA from 1 species
GGGGCAGUGGCUCAAGCAGUAGAGCAUCUGCCUAACAAGCACAAGGCUCUGAGUUCAAAUCCUAGCACUUCUC